AACGGCCAUACCAUUAUGAAUAUACCGGUUCUCGUUAGAUCACCGAAGUCAAGCAUCAUUGGGCGCGGUCAGUACUUGGGUGGGUGACCACCUGGGAACACCGCGUGCCGU